AAUAAAAAUUAAUAAUGUAAUCAUAUAAUUUUGACAAUAUGGGUCAUAAGUUUCUACCAGCCACCGUAAAAGGGCUGACUAUGAUACUGAAUUAAGUACUC
rfam:Clostridium hiranonis DSM 13275 Scfld1 genomic scaffold, whole genome shotgun sequence.